rnacentral:lncRNA from 1 species
CUCUUCCUGCCGCGCUCCCUCAGAACUGGCUGAAGAACACUAGCUACUUCUCCAGCUGCGUGCCGCCAUGUUCCCUGUCAUGGGGAUAAAGGGACUAAAUCCCUCUGAAACGGAGCAGCGCUGUUUUCUGUGGACCCUUGUCUAGUUGUGGCGGUUGCUGGGAAAGAUGAAGUCCCCAGACUGGAGCUCAGGCUGCAAAGAGGCUGGCAUGGGACACCCAGCACAAGGCUGCAAUUCCCAACUGAGAGCUGUGCACAAGAGAGCAACUCCAGAAGCCAAGGGUGCACAGUGAGAUUAAGUACCUAAGACAAGGUGCAUCUAGAAAGCAGACCUCAAUUUUAAAAGCCCUGUAAUUACACAGUAUGCAGAAAGCGCCACGAGUGAAGCUUUCCAGAAGCAGAGCUCACCAAAUAACCAUCUGUGCUUUAGUGUCGCCAGACUUCCUUUCAGAACAGAUCAGGUCAUGUGACUAGUUGGGUCCUUGUAAUGGCAGAAGCGAGAUGCCCCUUCUAGGCCAAGGCAAGAUCUGCUGCCCUCUGACUUCUACCUGUUGCUGAGAUGACUUCUGUCGCCAAGGCACCUGGAUACCGAGCCACUCCUUGACAAAAGCCCUCUCCAGCCUGCGUGGACCUCGCGUGAGAGAAGUCUAGGUGGCUGUGGGCAGCCCACAGGCUUCCGUUGCCGCUGCGUUACAGCUUGUCGUCUUAAUCUUGAAAUGAGACCUGGUUCACUUGAUCUCAUUAAUAAAAGGUCUGUGCUCCCCCUAGUCAUAAAAACACGCCACCCUCCUGUUCACUGUCCUCUGAAGGAGCUGUUUUAUUUCAGUGUUUUUAAGGUGGUACUGGAUCCAUAGGCUCACACGGCCCCUACUUUCUUGGUGCUAUCUGAUGAUGUACCUUAAGCCCCCAGAGAAGUCGCUAGGUACCAGCAUUAUGGACUUUGAUGGAGACGUCACCUUAGAUGCUUAUCAGCCUGUAAAGUAAAAUUCCAAUUUUCCUA